rnacentral:rRNA from 1 species
UACGUAGGGUGCAAGCGUUGUCCGGAAUUAUUGGGCGUAAAGAGCUCGUAGGCGGUCUGUCGCGUCUGCUGUGAAAACUCAGGGCUUAACCCUGAGCUUGCAGUGGGUACGGGCAGACUAGAGUGCGGUAGGGGAGACUGGAAUUCCUGGUGUAGCGGUGAAAUGCGCAGAUAUCAGGGAGGGAACACCCGGUGGGCGAAAGG